rnacentral:lncRNA from 1 species
ACAUUGUAGUUCCCAUGAUCUCCACAUGUUGGGAGGAACUGGUGGGAAGUAAUUGAACCAUGAAGGCAGUUUUUCCAAUGCUAUUCUUAUGAUAGUAAGUUUUCACAUGAUCUAGCAGUUUUAUACAGUGCUUCCUCCUUCACUUGACUCUCAUUCUUCACUCUCCUGCCACCUUGUGAAAAAGGACAUGUUUGUUUCCCCUUUUGCCAUGACUGCAAGUUUUCUGAGGCCUCCCCAGCCCUGCAGAACUUUUUCUCAUCUAUGAAAUGGGAAUAGUAAUGGUAUUGACCUCAAAGGAUUGCUAUGAAAUGAGAUAAUAUAAGGAAAAACUGCAGCACACUACC